CCUACGGGGUGCUGCAGUGGGGAAUAUUGGACAAUGGGCGAAAGCCUGAUCCAGCCAUGCCGCGUGUGUGAAGAAGGCCUUCGGGUUGUAAAGCACUUUCAGUGGGGAAGAAAGCCUUGGGGCUAAUACCCUCGAGGAAGGACAUCACCCACAGAAGAAGCACCGGCUAACUCCGUGCCAGCAGCCGCGGUAAUACGGAGGGUGCGAGCGUUAAUCGGAAUUACUGGGCGUAAAGCGCGCGUAGGCGGUCUGAUAAGCCGGUUGUGAAAGCCCCGGGCUCAACCUGGGAACGGCAUCCGGAACUGUCAGGCUAGAGUGCAGGAGAGGAAGGUAGAAUUCCCGGUGUAGCGGUGAAAUGCGUAGAGAUCAGGAGGAAUACCAGUGGCGAAGGCGGCCUUCUGGACUGACACUGACGCUGAGGUGCGAAAGCGUGGGUAGCAAACAGGAUUAGAUACCCGGGUAGUC
rnacentral:rRNA from 1 species